UACGGGCGUCGGCCCACGCGCCUUUCACUCUCUGUGAAGAACCGCUGCGAAGUCCUGCCGAAGGUUGUGUUUGUGUUAGGUCGCCGUCCUUGGCUGACUGUCAGUCGUAUUGCGCAUCGCUUUGAAGGACUCGGAUACCUCUGCGCAAAGGGCGCGUUACCUCCGAGGUUUUGAAUUCCGCUGAGUGUGUUCAGCGGCCGCAAAGAAAAGUUCCAUUUAUCCAGCCAGCAUGAAUCUACUCGGACUGCCGGAUUGGACUGUCUUGGUGAUAACCGUCUUCGCCUUGCUUUACCUGUACGCCACGAGAAAGAAGAAUUAUUGGAAGAAUCAGAACGUUGUUUAUGAGAACCUAUCUCUGAUUUUUGGACCUGCAAGUCGGAUUUUGUUUCAUCCAUUGCACGAAACAGAUGAGAAGAGAUACAAGAAAUAUGGAAAACUUUUUGGGUAAG